AUCAAGGGCCAAAAACGUGCCACAUCAUAACUUAACCCACUUAACCCAAACCACAUUUAACUACACUUAAACUAAAGCUGUUAAACUCAACCGGACAAACCAUAGUUCUCUCUCACCAAACCCAUCUGAACUUUUCAAAUUCAAACUCUCUCUCUCACUCUCUUCUCCAAGGUUCUCUCUCGCCCCGCCGUCACGGUGCCCCGACUUUCUCAUUCUCAUUCAUCCAUUCAUUCAUUUUCUCAUAUUUAGUCUUUUCUGAGUCAUCGUUUUCUCUCUUCUCUGAGAAUUAGGGUUUUCGAUUACUCGAACCUCGAACACACACAAAAAAUUCAUCUUCGUUUAUCUUCGGUUAAUACUUAUUUGGUAAAUUAUGUCUCUGUGUUUGUGAAAGAACCAUGUACUCCUCGAGAGGGAGCAAUGUGUUUGGGCAACAAUCGUAUGCGGCUCAAUCGGCUGCGUAUGGCGCUAGUAGGCAACGGAGCAGAGGCUACAGGAAAAGAGAGAAGAUGCUGCUCAUUUGCCUGGGGCUGUCUCUGAUGAUAAGUGGGAUGCUACACCGCUUGAUGCUUUUUUUGGUUGGCUAAAUAGGUGGGGGGAAAAUGGGUCAUUAGGUGGGUAGGUAUUAGUGGGAAAAGGCCAUAAUUUUGGUGUAUGUUGGUAGGAUUUGGCAGAAUGUUUGUGUUGGUAUGUAUUGGCCUGAAUUUGUGUUGGUAUGUAUUAGUGGGAAAAUGCCAGAAUUUUGGUGUAAUUCUUUAUGUAAUCCAAGACUUUAGUAAUGGAACAUGGUCUUUUUAAUUAAUCUA